rnacentral:rRNA from 1 species
AUUGAACGCUGGCGGCAUGCCUUACACAUGCAAGUCGAACGGCAGCACGGGAGCAAUCCUGGUGGCGAGUGGCGAACGGGUGAGUAAAGUAUCGGAACGUGCCCAGUCGUGGGGGAUAACGUAGCGAAAGUUACGCUAAUACCGCAUACGAUCUAUGGAUGAAAGCGGGGGAUCGCAAGACCUCGCGCGAGUGGGGCGGCCGAUAUCAGAUUAGGUAGUUGGUGGGGUAAAGGCUCACCAAGCCGACGACCUGUAGGUGGUCUGAGAGGAGGACCAGCCACCAGGGGACGGGGACACGGCCCAGAGUCCUCCGGGAGGCAGCAAUGGGGAAUUUUGGACAAUGGGCGAAAGCCUGAUCCAGCCAUGCCGCGUGCAGGAUGAAGGCCUUCGGGUUGUAAACUGCUUUUGUACGGAACGAAAAGGUUUGGCCUAAUAAGCUGAGCUCAUGACGGUACCGUAAGAAUAAGCACCUGCAAACUACGUGCCAGCCGCCGCAGUAA